GACGAACGCUGGCGGCGUGCUUAACACAUGCAAGUCGAACGGAAAGGCCCUGCUUGCAGGGUACUCGAGUGGCGAACGGGUGAGUAACACGUGGGUGAUCUGCCCUGCACUUCGGGAUAAGCCUGGGAAACUGGGUCUAAUACCGGAUAGGAGCCAUUUUUAGUGUGAUGGUUGGAAAGUUUUUUCGGUGUAGGAUGAGCUCGCGGCCUAUCAGCUUGUUGGUGGGGUAAUGGCCUACCAAGGCGGCGACGGGUAGCCGGCCUGAGAGGGUGGACGGCCACAUUGGGACUGAGAUACGGCCCAGACUCCUACGGGAGGCAGCAGUGGGGAAUAUUGCACAAUGGGCGCAAGCCUGAUGCAGCGACGCCGCGUGGGGGAUGACGGCCUUCGGGUUGUAAACUCCUUUCGCUAGGGACGAAGCUUUUUGUGACGGGACCUAGAUAAGAAGCACCGGCUAACUACG
rnacentral:rRNA from 1 species